GACGAACGCUGGCGGCGUGCUUAACACAUGCAAGUCGAACGGAAAGGCCCUGCUUUUGUGGGGUGCUCGAGUGGCGAACGGGUGAGUAACACGUUAGUAACCUGCCCUUGACUUUGGGAUAACUUCAGGAAACUGGGGCUAAUACCGGAUAGGAUCUCCUGCUGCAUGGUGGGGGUUGGAAAGUUUCGGCGGUUGGGGAUGGACUCGCGGCUUAUCAGCUUGUUGGUGGGGUAGUGGCUUACCAAGGCUUUGACGGGUAGCCGGCCUGAGAGGGUGACCGGCCAAAUUGGGACUGAGAUACGGCCCAGACUGCUACGGGAGGCAGCAGUGGGGAAUAUUGCACAAGGGGCGGAAGACUGAUGCAGCAACGCAGCGUGCGGGAUGACGGCCUUCGGGUUGUAAACCGCUUUCGCCUGGGACGAAGCGUGAGUGACGGUAAUGGGUAAAGAAGAAACGGCUAAAUACGUG
rnacentral:rRNA from 1 species